UGAUCCCUCUGAGCUAAUCGAAAAUAAAGAUCAUUCCUGGAAUGAGGGAAACAUGACUAGACAGGUGAGUAUAUAGCCACGUCACAAAGCCCGCCAUAUACAACACCGUUCCUUAGGAAGUGCCAGACACUAUAAAAGCCAGCAGCACUAAUAGUAGCACCAGAACAGUCGAGAUGGACAACCUACACACGUCGAUGCGAGCUCGCGCAUCGGGGACGUGUGCAAUGGGUCGCUCGGCAGCCCUCUUCAAAGAGGGCUGCCGGAGCUUGGACGAGAGGGAUGCGAAGAUGAGUUAAUGGGAUUCAACUGGGCGCCCCAGCCACGGAGCACAGGCUGGGGCGCGUGAUGGAGGGACUCCUGCUGCACGUGCGCAACAAAGUUGUGGCAGCAGUGAUGGCUACUCCCCUGUUUGCUCUUGACCUGUAUGCAGUCAUGCCAGUCCUCAACACCAUGGGGCUGGUAUACGAAUUUCCUUGGCUACAGGUCAAAGCAAGUAUUUCAAAGACUUCAAGUGUGCUCCUAGUUUCUGUCUGCAUGAUGGCGCGACCCCCCGUCAACCCAUCGGCACAGUCUUCGUCUGGCCAAAAGCCUCCACAAUGUUACCCAAAGGAGAAUCUUCCAGAAAAAACUGUCAUCCAUCUAAGAGAUUACUCUACAAGUCAAGACAACAUUUAUUCCGACAAUUCUAUCCAUUUUCGGAAAGAAAUAAAAUCUUCUUCGUUACAAAAACAGAGUCUGCAAUUAACUAUACCUGUUCACUUGGACAAUACUGGGGAAAAUACUCUAUCAGAAGACAAGCAAGAUCUAUCAUCACCUAAUCGGAACUUUUUAAUAAAAGAGACUGAAAUAGUACACACUGUCAGCAAUUUAUGUGAAGAUAACUUUUAUUCCAACAUUUGUAGAAGUCCAACGAGCGAAAUAAAAAGCACUGGUGCAACUAAACAUUUUCCACCCAAUAACAGUCCCCAGUUAUCUUUUGUAUUCCCAUCAGAUGAGAAACCAUCAACUUCUAGGCUUUUAGAUGGGAAUAAAAACUUUACUAAAUUUA